GUUGAAACUAUGUGUACGAAGAUGAAUAUGAGGAGGUGGUGCCUGCUGUCUAGGUAUUCACGUGCGUGUUGUCGUACAGCAGUCACCGUGCUCGGCUGACACUCCGGGUUAGCUGUGGGUGUCGAAAGGCUGUUGUUAUAGGAAGGGAGAAUAAGAGUAACACCUAGGUAUGAGGUGCAGACGAAGUGCAAGACACAAAUACUUGGGGUAUAGGAGAGGACAAUGAAGUACGAGGUGCAGACGAAGUGCAAGACACAAGUACUCCAAAGAGAGAACGGGGUAGCCGAGUAUAAGGUGCAGACGAAGUGCAAGACACAAAUACUGGGCGUACCAGAUAAGGAGUAUAACAAAGCACGAGGUGCAGACGAAGUGCAAGACACAAGUACUUUAGUUAUUAGGAGAGGAUAAUGAAGUACGAGGUGCAGACGAAGUGCAAGACACAAGUACUUCAAAGAGAGAACGGGGUAGCCGAGUAUAAGGUGCAGACGAAGUGCAAGACACAAAUACUGGGCGUACCAGAUAAGGAGUAUAACAAAGUACGAGGUGCAGACGAAGUGCAAGACACAAGUACUUUAGUUAUUAGGAGAGGAUAAUGAAGUACGAGGUGCAGACGAAGUGCAAGACACAAGUACUUCAAAGAGAGAACGGGGUAGCCGAGUAUAAGGUGCAGACGAAGUGCAAGACACAAAUACUGGGCGUACCAGAUAAGGAGUAUAACAAAGUACGAGGUGCAGACGAAGUGCAAGACACAAGUACUUUAGUUAUUAGGAGAGGAUAAUGAAGUACGAGGUGCAGACGAAGUGCAAGACACAAAUACUGGGCGUACCAGAUAAGGAGUAUAACAAAGUACGAGGUGCAGACGAAGUGCAAGACACAAGUACUUUAGUUAUUAGGAGAGGAUAAUGAAGUACGAGGUGCAGACGAAGUGCAAGACACAAGUACUUCAGAGAGAGAACGGGGUAGCCGAGUAUAAGGUGCAGACGAAGUGCAAGACACAAAUACUGGGCGUACCAGG